rnacentral:rRNA from 1 species
UACGUAGGGUCCAAGCGUUAAUCGGAAUUACUGGGCGUAAAGCGUGCGCAGGCGGUUGUGUAAGUCAGAUGUGAAAUCCCCGGGCUCAACCUGGGAAUUGCAUUUGAGACUGCACGGCUAGAGUGUGUCAGAGGGGGGUAGAAUUCCACGUGUAGCAGUGAAAUGCGUAGAGAUGUGGAGGAAUACCGAUGGCGAAGGCAGCCCCCUGGGAUAACACUGACGCUCAUGCACGAAAGCGUGGGGAGCAAACAGG